AGGCUCCACACAACCUUGGCACUGUUCGCUUCCAGACUGCCAGUCUUCGAGAAGUAACUUUCUGGGCUGAGUGGCUCUAGGCAGAUUUAUGCCCCUAAAAGCACCAGUGACUAGAAAAGUUCUGUCCCACUGGUUCUUGGGAAGCAUUGCUCUAACAUCCGCAUCCAACUCUCUGCUUGCUGCAUGACCCCUCAGCAGACCUGACAUGCAGGACGCCAUUCUGCAAUUCAGCGGGACCCCACUACCUUUGGUUGCCCUAACAACUUAAACACAACAACUAUGUGAACUUUCACAUGGCCACUCAUAAAACUCUUUUGAAAC
rnacentral:lncRNA from 1 species